rnacentral:lncRNA from 1 species
GGUGUUUUUUUCCAAUUUCUUACUAGGAAAGUUAGCCCCAAUUUGUCCUACAUCACCAAUUGUCCUUAAUAAAAAGGCUUUACUAAAUCUAAAGUUGUAAUUUUCUGAAUUUAUUUCCAACUGAUCUCCAAAUUCAACAAUAAAACCUUCAAUUUCGAAAUUCUUGUAAGAUAAUUUAAAAUUCAACCAACAUUUGUUCAAAG